rnacentral:rRNA from 1 species
CCGCCGCGGUAACACCGGCGGCCCGAGUGGUGAUCGUGAUUAUUGGGUCUAAAGGGUCCGUAGCCGGUUUGGUCAGUCCUCCGGGAAAUCUGAUAGCUCAACUAUUAGGCUUUCGGGGGAUACUGCCAGACUUGGAACCGGGAGAGGUAAGAGGUACUACAGGGGUAGGAGUGAAAUCUUGUAAUCCCCUGUGGGACCACCUGUGGCGAAGGCGUCUUACCAGAACGGGUUCGACGGUGAGGGACGAAAGCUGGGGGCACGAACCGGAUUAGAUACCCGGGUAGUCCCAGCCGUAAACGAUGCUCGCUAGGUGUCAGGCAUGGCGCGACCGUGUCUGGUGCCGCAGGGAAGCCGUGAAGCGAGCCACCUGGGAAGUACGGCCGCAAGGCUGAAACUUAAAGGAAUUGGCGGGGGAGCACAACAACGGGUGGAGCCCUGCGGUUUAAUUGGACUCAACGCCGGACAACUCACCGGGGGCGACAGCAAUAUGUAGGCCAAGCUGGAGACUUUGCCUGAAUCGCUGAGAAGAGGUGCAUGG